CUAGAUUUUAAAUAGUUGACCAACUUGGGUAACCUUCUUGCAUAUCUAUAUUAAAUGCCUACGCUAAACAACCGUUUUUGCCCAUUACUUCUUCUCAUAUCAAAAUAUGUUAGCUUCAAAAACAAAAAAAAAUUGGCCAUAAGAAAGGCUCCUCAAACCAAUCUGGACAUAUAGUAUUCUUCAUUAUUCAGGUAUGGAAAGCAGCUUAACCCACAAAUAUUAUAAAUAUUCCAAAUUCCUAACGCAAAUACCUUCAUUAAAUUUCCAAAGCCUUGUACUAGGUCUUAAAUCAUACUCUCCAGACAGAUCUAUUCAUUCCAAUAUUAGAAAAUGUUGCCGAGACAUUCUACAAACGCA